CAAAGUAUCGUAGAAGGGGGGGUUGAAUACGAUACUCACCACAAUUUAAAAUUCUUUCGAAUCUUGCAUGCGGAUAAAUAAAUUGCAGUCCUGUAAUGGGUUUCGUGUUCCGGAUAUUUAUUGGGUCGAUUUCUGAGGAUAUGAAAAUAUUAAACCAACACACAAUAUUUUCCAAGGUAUAUCUGUAUAUUGAUAAAUACCUCGAAGGUGCUACAAAUCCAAACCCGAAGGUUGGCUACAAUGACCACUCCUCUAAAUAUUACAAGCCCUAUCCACUACAAAUAUUUAUGGUACAAAACUAGGCUAGGGUGUGUGUAUAUUUGAGAGAGUUUGUGCAUAGCACUUGGCCAUCCA
rnacentral:lncRNA from 1 species